CAUAACGCGUGAGAAUCUGGCUUCAGGUUUGGGACAACCACUGGAAACGGUGGCUAAUACCAGAUGUGCCGAAAGGUGAAAGGCUUGCUGCCUGAAGAUGAGCUCGCGUCUGAUUAGCUAGUAGGUGGGGUAAGAGCCUACCUAGGCGACGAUCAGUAGCUGGUCUGAGAGGAUGAUCAGCCACACUGGGACUGAGACACGGCCCAGACUCCUACGGGAGGCAGCAGUGGGGAAUUUUCCGCAAUGGGCGAAAGCCUGACGGAGCAAUACCGCGUGAGGGAGGAAGGCUCUUGGGUCGUAAACCUCUUUUCUCAGGGAAGAAAACAAUGACGGUACCUGAGGAAUAAGCAUCGGCUAACUCCGUGCCAGCAGCCGCGGUAAUACGGAGGAUGCAAGCGUUAUCCGGAAUGAUUGGGCGUAAAGCGUCCGCAGGUGGCUAUGUAAGUCUGCUGUUAAAGAGUGAGGCUCAACCUCAUAAGAGCAGUGGAAACUACAUGGCUAGAGUGCGUUCGGGGCAGAGGGAAUUCCUGGUGUAGCGGUGAAAUGCGUAGAGAUCAGGAAGAACACCGGUGGCGAAAGCGCUCUGCUAGGCCGCAACUGA
rnacentral:rRNA from 1 species